rnacentral:rRNA from 1 species
AGUGAACGCUGGCGGUAGGCCUAACACAUGCAAGUCGAACGGCAGCACAGUAAGAGCUUGCUCUUACGGGUGGCGAGUGGCGGACGGGUGAGGAAUACAUCGGAAUCUACUUUUUCGUGGGGGAUAACGUAGGGAAACUUACGCUAAUACCGCAUACGACCUACGGGUGAAAGCAGUGGAUCUUCGGACCUUGCGCGAUUGAAUGAGCCGAUGUCGGAUUAGCUAGUUGGCGGGGUAAAGGCCCACCAAGGCGACGAUCCGUAGCUGGUCUGAGAGGAUGAUCAGCCACACUGGAACUGAGACACGGUCCAGACUCCUACGGGAGGCAGCAGUGGGGAAUAUUGGACAAUGGGCGCAAGCCUGAUCCAGCCAUACCGCGUGGGUGAAGAAGGCCUUCGGGUUGUAAAGCCCUUUUGUUAGGAAAGAAAAGCAGCAGGUUAAUACCCCGCUGUUCUGACGGUACCCAAAGAAUAAGCACCGGCUAACUUCGUG